UUCCUCUUAGUGUCGACCUUCAGGGUGCUGGAUUUAGGAUGAAACCCUCCAUGUAUUGUGAGGAGCUUUCUUAUCUGUUUCUUCUACUACUAUGCCAGCAGGGCGUCGGAUCACUAGCAGAGUCUCAGUGUUGAUGGCUUUGAGAUCUUGGUCUUGUACCCUUCAGGACUUGCCUCACUCUGUGGAGGUAUUUGGCUGUAGAUGAUCUCCUUGUGGUUCCCAUCUACUUGUGGGAUCCAAACAUCUUGCUAUGUUGCCUUCAGGUGCAUCAUUCCUCCCGGUUGUGAUCGUCUUUCCUCUCUUUAAAAUCCCAUCCUGACUUCAUUGCUGUAGAUCUGAGUGAGGUGGAUCAGCGAGUCGUGGUGUACAGCUCGGUGUCAUCCAUGCAGAAGAGGUGGCCGAUGAAGAAGGUAUCGAGACCAACUCUGUGUGAUGAUCUGAUGGAGAAGGUCCAAGCC